AUUGAACGCUGGCGGCAGGCUUAACACAUGCAAGUCGAGCGGCAACAUUUCUAGCUUGCGCUAGGAGAUGACGAGCGGCGGACGGGUGAGUAAUGCUUGGGAAUAUGCCUUUUGGUGGGGGACAACAGUUGGAAACGACUGCUAAUACCGCAUAAUGUCUACGGACCAAAGCGGGGGACCUUCGGGCCUCGCGCCAAAAGAUUAGCCCAAGUGAGAUUAGCUAGUAGGUGAGGUAAAGGCUCACCUAGGCGACGAUCUCUAGCUGGUUUGAGAGGAUGAUCAGCCACACUGGGACUGAGACACGGCCCAGACUCCUACGGGAGGCAGCAGUGGGGAAUAUUGCACAAUGGGCGAAAGCCUGAUGCAGCCAUGCCGCGUGUAUGAAGAAGGCCUUCGGGUUGUAAAGUACUUUCAGCGAGGAGGAAAGGUUACGUGUUAAUAGCACGUAGCUGUGACGUUACUCGCAGAAGAAGGACCGGCUAACUCCGUGCCAGCAGCCGCGGUAAUACGGAGGGUCCGAGCGUUAAUCGGAAUUACUGGGCGUAAAGCGUACGCAGGCGGUUUGUUAAGCGAGAUGUGAAAGCCCCGGGCUCAACCUGGGAACUGCAUUUCGAACUGACAAACUAGAGUUUUGUAGAGGGUGGUAGAAUUUCAGGUGUAGCGGUGAAAUGCGUAGAGAUCUGAAGGAAUACCAGUGGCGAAGGCGGCCACCUGGACCAAAACUGACGCUGAGGUGCGAAAGCGUGUGGAGCAAACAGGAUUAGAUACCCUGGUAGUCCACGCCGUAAACGAUGUCUACUAGCCGUUGGGAGACUUGAUCUCUUAGUGGCGCAGCUAACGCGAUAAGUAGACCGUCUGGGGAGUACGUUCGCUAGAUUAAAACUCAAAUGAAUUGACGGGGGCCCGCACAAGCGGUGGAGCAUGUGGUUUAAUUCGAAGCAACGCGAAGAACCUUACCCGCUCUUGACAUCCACAGAAGCCAGUAGAGAUACAGGUGUGCCUUCGGGAACUGUGAGACAGGUGCUGCAUGGCUGUCGUCAGCUCGUGUUGUGAAAUGUUGGGUUAAGUCCCGUAACGAGCGCAACCCUUGUCCUUAUUUGCCAGCGCGUAAUGGUGGGAACUCUAAGGAGACUGCCGGUGACAAACCGGAGGAAGGUGGGGACGACGUCAAGUCAUCAUGGCCCUUACGAGCGGGGCUACACACGUGCUACAAUGGCCAGGACAAACGGUCGCAACCCCGCGAGGGUGAGCUAAUCUGAGAAACCUGGUCGUAGUCCGGAUCGCAGUCUGCAACUCGACUGCGUGAAGUCGGAAUCGCUAGUAAUCGUGAAUCAGAAUGUCACGGUGAAUACGUUCCCGGGCCUUGUACACACCGCCCGUCACACCAUGGGAGUGGAUUGCACCAGAAGUAGCUAGCUUAACCUUCGGGAGGGCGGUUACCACGGUGUGGUUCAUGACUGGGGUGA
rnacentral:rRNA from 1 species